rnacentral:rRNA from 1 species
GAUGAACGCUGGCGGCGUGCCUAAUACAUGCAAGUCGAGCGAACGGACGAGGAGCUUGCUUCUCUGCAGUUAGCGGCGGACGGGUGAGUAACACGUGGAUAACCUACCUAUAAGACUGGGGUAACUUCGGGAAACCGGAGCUAAUACCGGAUAAUAUGUUGAACCGCAUGGUUCAACAGUGAAAGACGGUUUUGCUGACACUUAUAGAUGGUUCCGCGCCGCAUUAGCUAGUUGGUAAGGUAACGGCUUACCAAGGCGACGAUGCGUAGCCGACCUGAGAGGGUGAUCGGCCACACUGGAACUGAGACACGGUCCAGACUCCUACGGGAGGCAGCAGUAGGGAAUCUUCCGCAAUGGGCGAAAGCCUGACGGAGCAACGCCGCGUGAGUGAUGAAGGUCUUCGGAUCGUAAAACUCUGUUAGUAGGGAAGAACAAAUGUGUAAGUAACUCUGCACGUCUUGACGGUACCUAAACAGAAAGCCACGGCUAACUACGUG